GUCCGCCUAGUUCCAGUCACACGAAAUUACUGGAAAUGUUCGAGUGCUCUGUGCUUGCUGCUGCUGCCUGGAAUGCUUCUCCUCCCUCUUUCCCUCUUCACUUGGCCCCUUUUUUUCCCUUUAAGACAAAUUCAGGCAUCAUUUCCUCCAAAAGCACAUCUUUGAAUGACUUCCUGUAUCGCCCUGAAUAUCCUGCAUUUCUCAUUCUAUAGCUUAAUUGUGUCCUUUUUUAGGGCAGAAACUGUGGCUUAUUCAUCCUUGUCUCACCUAUACCUUGCCCAAUGCCUGCUUCAGAAUAGACUCUGACUUUGAAACUAGACGUAUUUACCUCAAACCAACUCGACACGUUCCCAUGUAGUCUGCUCCCCUGAUGGGGUCCCCAGGGGUAGCAGCUUUAUUAGUCUGUACUGGGGCACCAUAAUGCAGACAAGAAACACUUUGAAAUCUUUAAUGCUCCUGGUGAGAUGAGGAACAGCUCUGUGGCAUUGCCAGCGGCAGAGGAUAUCCAGUCCUUCCACAAAACAUACAACCAAAAACAAGGAAGGAAGAAAAGCCAAAGCCUAGGCAAGCUCACUGACGCCGCUCUCUGGCUGCCUUCCGUGUCCUCCUCUCCAACGGGUGUUCCGGCCCUUUCUCGUGCUGGAGUGGCCAGAUCUACGACUUCAGUUUGAACUUGGGGAGAAGUAGGUGGGAUCUCUGGCUUGCUUUGGCAUGAGACCCAGUUAGUAACAGAGUCCUUCCAGCUUUAAGCUCAGCUCAGUAGACCUCUCUCUG
rnacentral:lncRNA from 1 species